CCUACGGGCGGCAGCAGUGGGGAAUAUUGGACAAUGGGGGGAACCCAGAUCCAGCCAUGCCGCGUGUGUGAAGAAGGCCCUCGGGUUGUAAAGCACUUUCAGUGAGGAAGAACGCCUGGUGGUUAAUACCCAUCAGGAAAGACAUCACUCACAGAAGAAGCACCGGCUAACUCCGUGCCAGCAGCCGCGGUAAUACGGAGGGUGCGAGCGUUAAUCGGAAUUACUGGGCGUAAAGCGCGCGUAGGUGGCUUGAUAAGCCGGUUGUGAAAGCCCCGGGCUCAACCUGGGAACGGCAUCCGGAACUGUCAAGCUAGAGUGCAGGAGAGGAAGGUAGAAUUCCCGGUGUAGCGGUGAAAUGCGUAGAGAUCGGGAGGAAUACCAGUGGCGAAGGCGGCCUUCUGGACUGACACUGACACUGAGGUGCGAAAGCGUGGGUAGCAAACAGGAUUAGAUACCCUAGUAGUC
rnacentral:rRNA from 1 species